AACGAACGCUGGCGGCAGGCUUAACACAUGCAAGUCGAGCGCCCCGCAAGGGGAGCGGCAGACGAGUGAGUAACGCGUGGGAACGUACCCUUUGCUACGGAAUAGCUCCGGGAAACUGGAAUUAAUACCGUAUGUGCCCUACGGGGGAAAGAUUUAUCGGCAAGGGAUCGGCCCGCGUUGGAUUAGCUAGUUGGUGGGGUAAUGGCCUACCAAGGCGACGAUCCAUAGCUGGUCUGAGAGGAUGAUCAGCCACAUUGGGACUGAGACACGGCCCAAACUCCUACGGGAGGCAGCAGUGGGGAAUAUUGGACAAUGGGCGCAAGCCUGAUCCAGCCAUGCCGCGUGAGUGAUGAAGGCCUUAGGGUUGUAAAGCUCUUUCACCGGAGAAGAUAAUGACGGUAUCCGGAGAAGAAGCCCCGGCUAACUUCGUGCCAGCCGCCGCAGUAAAAC
rnacentral:rRNA from 1 species